CCUACGGGAGGCAGCAGUGAGGAAUAUUGGUCAAUGGACGCAAGUCUGAACCAGCCAUGCCGCGUGCAGGAAGACGGCUCUAUGAGUUGUAAACUGCUUUUGUACGAGGGUAAACGCAGAUACGUGUAUCCGUCUGAAAGUACCGUACGAAUAAGGAUCGGCUAACUCCGUGCCAGCAGCCGCGGUAAUACGGAGGAUUCAAGCGUUAUCCGGAUUUAUUGGGUUUAAAGGGUGCGUAGGCGGUGGGAUAAGUUAGAGGUGAAAUCCCGAGGCUCAACUUGGGAAUUGCCUCUGAUACUGUUCGGCUAGAGAGUAGAUGCGGUAGGCGGAAUGUAUGGUGUAGCGGUGAAAUGCUUAGAGAUCAUACAGAACACCGAUUGCGAAGGCAGCUUACCAAGCUACUUCUGACGUUGAGGCACGAAAGCGUGGGGAGCAAACAGGAUUAGAUACCCGUGUAGUC
rnacentral:rRNA from 1 species